rnacentral:rRNA from 1 species
GAUGAACGCUAGCGAUAGGCUUAACACAUGCAAGUCGAGGGGCAGCAUGGUCUUAGCUUGCUAAGACUGAUGGCGACCGGCGCACGGGUGCGUAACGCGUAUGCAACUUGCCUCACAGAGGGGGAUAACCCGUCGAAAGACGGACUAAUACCGCGUACACUCUAUUUUGGGCAUCCAAGGUAGAGGAAAUGAAAUUCGCUGUGAGAUAGGCAUGCGUCCCAUUAGCUAGUUGGUGAGGUAACGGCUCACCAAGGCGACGAUGGGUAGGGGAACUGAGAGGUUGAACCCCCACACUGGUACUGAGACACGGACCAGACUCCUACGGGAGGCAGCAGUGAGGAAUAUUGGUCAAUGGGCGAGAGCCUGAACCAGCCAAGUCGCGUGAAGGAUGACUGUCUUAUGGAUUGUAAACUUCUUUUGCAGGGGAAUAAAGAGGGGCACGUGUGCCCCAGUGAAUGUACCCUACGAAUAAGCAUCGGCUAACUCCGUG